rnacentral:rRNA from 1 species
AUAUGAAGGCGGGCUGGAACCUCUCGGGGUUACAGCCUUGCUGAAUUAUUCACCCUUGUCUUUUGCGUACUUCUUGUUUCCUUGGUGGGUUCGCCCACCACUAGGACAAACAUAAACCUUUUGUAAUUGCAAUCAGCGUCAGUAACAAAUUAAUAAUUACAACUUUCAACAACGGAUCUCUUGGUUCUGGCAUCGAUGAAGAACGCAGCGAAAUGCGAUAAGUAGUGUGAAUUGCAGAUUUCAGUGAAUCAUCGAAUCUUUGAACGCACAUUGCGCCCUUUGGUAUUCCAAAGGGCAUGCCUGUUCGAGCGUCAUUUGUACCCUCAAGCUUUGCUUGGUGUUGGGCGUCUUGUCUCUAGCUUUGCUGGAGACUCGCCUUAAAGUAAUUGGCAGCCGGCCUACUGGUUUCGGAGCGCAGCACAAGUCGCACUCUCUAUCAGCAAAGGUCUAGCAUCCAUUAAGCCUUUUUUUCAACUUUUGACCUCGGAUCAGGUAGGGAUACCCGCUGAACUUAAGCAUAU